AAUGUUUGCAAACAUUUCAUGCAAAGAGAGUUUUAUUGCCCUGGCUGUUGGUUGAAGAGCGUGUAGACACAUUUCUACUCUACUUCAAAACAACAUGUAUUUAUUAAAUUUUAAUAUCCUAAGUAAAAAUGUCAUAUGUCUACAAGCUCUUCUUGACAACCUGCACCACGAGAAGGUAGCCAAUGGGACUAAGCAGGUCAUACCUAAAAUAAAGGACAGAUUUAUGUUGCAAUUAACAUUUUAAGUAAAAAAGAGUUACCCCAUUUUGGUGAUGUAAUUGUUUACUUGAUGUUGCAUAACUUACAGUAACUGAGGUGUGAUGGCUGGUAGGUUGAUUGUUGUAAGUCAUUAUGGUAGGGUGAUUGGGCUGUGAUGAUCGGUAGGGUACGGAUGAGACUGAAUAAUGCUGUAACGUUAAAGCACCUUGUUUAGGUUGCAUAUGGUGCGAUAAGGUAAUAAGCAGCAUAAUGUUGUAAUAGUAAUGCACCUUGUUCAGGUUUUGAAAUUGGAUUAUGUUAAUACACAAUUUUUUUCAAUAAGCAACUCAUUUUUUAAGCAACUGAACUGGAUUUGAAAUGUUUUAAGCAAUUUUAGUUCUGGACAAAUAUAAGCACAAGCAAGAAUAAUUUUUUUUGCACACUUCAGUUUAUUUUUAAGAAAUAUCUUUUUUACCAAAAUAUGACUUAGUUUCUUUUUCCCGUUUAUUAUAUAUAUGUUUAACAAAAAUAAGACUUAGAUAUUGACUAAAAAAUAACAUGAGAUCUGACCAAAAUCCAAUUUGCUUAUAAAAAAAAUUGUGCAAUCAGCUCAAUGCUGUAAUGCACCUUGUUCAGGUUGCAUGUGCACCUUGUUCAGGCUGCAAUUGGCCUACAACGCCAUUAAUAAUCAGCACAAAGCUGUAAUGUUAAUGUACCUUGUUUAAGUAAUUGUGAUAUAAUGGGUACAGACAAUAUGUUGAAUCUGGUAAGUAGAAAGGGUAUGGUAAUUGUGGUACAAUGAUCGGUAUGGUAAAACGAUAUGUUGAUUGGGAUAAGUCGAAACGGUAUGGUAAUUGUGGUAUAAUGGGUGCAGGCGAUAUGUUGAAUCUGGUAAAUCGAAAGGGUAUGGUAAUUGUGUUAUGAUGAUCGGUAAGGUACAGACGAUACGUUGAUUGCGAUAAGUGAAAACGGUAUGGUAAUUGUGGUAUGAUGGGUACUGACGAUUUAUGUUGAAUCCUUUAGGUCGAAAUGGUAAUUGUGGUAUGAUGAUCGGUACGGUAAGGCAAUAUGUUGAUUGCAAAAAGUCGAAAUUGUAUGGUAAUUGUGUUAUGAUGACCAAUAAGGUAAAGACGAGAUUUUGAUUGCGAUAAGUCAAAACAGCACGGUAAUCGUGGUAUGACAGGGACGGUACAGACAAUAUGUUGAUUGCGAUAAGGCUGUAUGUAUGGUAAGGUUUUGAAUUUAAACCUUUAUGUUAAUACACAUUCUUUUUAUAAGCAACUAAACUGAAUUUUAAAAAAAUUUAGUUUUGUACAAAUAAAAGCAUAAGCAAAAAUUUUUUUU